UCGGGUAUAACGUAACGGUUAACCUAUCGCCCUUAACCCGCGAGGCCCCAGGUUCGACUCUAGGUAUCCGAA